UCCGCGUUAGCUCAGCUGGUAGAGCAAGCGACUGUUAAUCGCUAGGUCCUAGGUUCGAGCCCUAGACGCGGAG
rnacentral:tRNA from 1 species